CUAUUUACCAGGAGAGAGGGCUCCUAACUGCAGAGUGGAAAACUAUCAAAAAUAAUGAUAAAACCCUACAGCUACUUGAAGUUCUCCGGUUGCCAAAAGAGGGUGGCCAUCACACACUGUCCAGGCCAUUGAAGAGGAAGGACACCAGUGGUUAGAGGUAACAACUUAGCCAGCGAUCCGCUAAGGAGGUAGCCCUGGAAGACACGACUGCCUCCAUGUUGGCUACUGUCCUGCCUGAGCCACCCAAUCCCAGCUUGCCGGAAUGCCCUGUCUGUGUGAAGGGAGAGAUCAAAUGGGCUAAGAAUCAGCCCAUGAGCCAACGCUCAGAAGGCUGGUGGCAAACGGCUGAAGUUUCUCUUUCUCUACAGGCAGUGUUGGGACACAGCUGUAUUAUGAGUCCUGUGAAAGUGUAUGUGUAAAAGCCACUUGAACCUGUUGAAAUUUAAUGCCAGUGGUGAGCUGAUGCCUGUCAACAUCAGGAUUAUAGUUAGAAAGUCUGAAAGGAAGUGCCCUGUGAUAUUGAAAAAGAGGCCUCUAGAAACCUGACGGCUGUUAGAUAAAAGUCCCAGUGCUGGUGCAGCCUGACUCCCUAGUUGUUGGUCAAGGAGUUCCAGGACCCCCUGAGCAGCACAGGCUGCCUUCUCUGCUGCUGCUUGUUCACCAAGACUACAUUGCUCUCACCUCUAGUCAGAGAAGCUUCCUUUUAGGAAGGGUAGCAGUUACCGAAGAGACUC
rnacentral:lncRNA from 1 species